GACGAACGCUGGCGGCGUGCUUAACACAUGCAAGUCGAACGGAAAGGCCCUGCUUGCGGGGGGUGCGCGAGUGGAGAGGGGGUGAGUAACAUGGGAGUAACGUGCCUUUCAUGGUGGUAUAAUUUGAGAAAACGGGGUAUAAUAGGGUAGAGCAGUUGCUGAGGCAUGGUGGUGGUAGGAAAGUUUCGGCGGUUGGGGAUGGACCCGCGGCCUAUCAGCUUGUUGGUGGGGUAGUGGCCUACCAAGGCUUUGACGGGUAGCCGGCCUGAGAGGGUGAACGGCCACAUUGGGACUGAGAUACGGCCCAGACUCCUACGGGAGGCAGCAGUGGGGAAUAUUGCACAAUGGGCGGAAGCCUGAUGCAGCAACGCCGCGUGCGGGAUGACGGCCUUCGGGUUGUAAACCGCUUUCGACUGUGACGAAGCGUGAGUGACGGUACUUGGUAAAGAAGCACCGGCUAACUACGUG
rnacentral:rRNA from 1 species